rnacentral:misc_RNA from 1 species
UAGAUGAAGUGCAGAAGUCAGA